rnacentral:rRNA from 1 species
UACAGAGGGUGCGAGCGUUAAUCGGAAUUACUGGGCGUAAAGCGUGCGUAGACGGUUAUUUAAGUCGGGUGUGAAAGCCCCGGGCUCAACCUGGGAAUUGCAUUCGAGACUGAAUAGCUAGGGUACGGUAGAGGGAAGUGGAAUUUCCGGUGUAGCGGUGAAAUGCGUAGAUAUCCGGAGGAACACCGGUGGCGAAGGCGGCUUCCUGGACCGACACUGACGCUGAGGCGCGAAAGCUAGGGGAGCAAACGGG